rnacentral:rRNA from 1 species
AGGACGAACGCUGGCGGCGUGCUUAACACAUGCAAGUCGAGCGGUAAGGCCUUUCGGGGUACACGAGCGGCGAACGGGUGAGUAACACGUGGGUGAUCUGCCCUGCACUCUGGGAUAAGCCUGGGAAACUGGGUCUAAUACCGGAUAUGACCUGCUCUCGCAUGGGGGUGGGUGGAAAGAUUUAUCGGUGCAGGAUGGGCCCGCGGCCUAUCAGCUUGUUGGUGGGGUAAUGGCCUACCAAGGCGACGACGGGUAGCCGACCUGAGAGGGUGACGGCC